CACUUGAUUGCAGAGGAGGUCUACAGGGCAGUGGUUAGAACUUGGCCCUGAGGACAGAGCUUUCGCUCAGUACGAGGCUGGCAGGUAGGCCAGGCUGGCAGGUAGGCCUUCUCAGUUUCCUCCUCAGGAAUCUGGAAUGAUGAAGUUGGUGAUGAUUGUGCCUGUAGCCAGGACCGGGAGAACCCUGGACCCCUACAUCUUCCCCACCCCUGGAAUGUCACUAUACAUAUCUGACUUCCUUCUGAUGUUGCCUUUGACCCUAAAGUCAAUAUGAUAAAGUAACAAGAAGCUGGGACAGAAGAACAAACACAGCCCACUCAAGUAGUGGUGGCAACAUUCUGUUAGAAAGGAGGGGACUCAAAGAAAAAAAAGGCACCUCCCCCCACGUCCUUGAUCACCUCCCUAAAGACAGAGAACAUGGACACCCUCCAUCCUGGCAGACAUGCUGUGUGGUUAGUUUGUGCGGUAAACAGGAAAAAAAAAAAAAAAAAAAAAAAACCUAAAGAUAUUGUAGACCUUUAUUUUUUAAAUCUCCUAAUAAAAACGUUAAACUUUCAA